rnacentral:rRNA from 1 species
UACGUAGGGAGCAAGCGUUGUCCGGAAUCAUUGGGCGUAAAGCGCGCGUAGGUGGCCCUGUAAGUCCGUUGUGAAAGUCAAAGGCUCAACCUUUGAAAGCCGAUGGAUACUGCAGGGCUAGAGUCCGGAAGAGGCGAGUGGAAUUCCUGGUGUAGCGGUGGAAUGCGCAGAUAUCGGGAGGAACACCAGUAGCGAAGGCGGCACUCUGGGCCGGUACUGACGCUGAGGAGCGAAAGCGUGGGGAGCAAACAGG